rnacentral:lncRNA from 1 species
AGCCGGGAGCUGCCUGUGCUGUGAAUGAGCAGCCUUCAGGCAGGAGCACUCUGUUCCUACAUAAAUCCUGUCUCGGCUGGCCCGGCUGGCGGGUGUGAGCUGCUCCUGCACAGGUCUGUCAGAGGAGGUGCACAAGCACAUUAACCUGCUUCCAGCCCUGCUUUCUUUACACCAAGCCAGCAUGUGCCUGCGUGUGUGUCUGUGCGUGCAUCCGUGUGAUGUGCAUGUGCAAGAGGGUUGGGGACCUAAUUACGGCUUAACCUAAUAAUGGCACGCAUGGUGUGUGGCAGGAGUUCCCUGGGAGCCUUCCCCUGCGCCCGUGGAUGAAUGAAUGAACGUUGUCUUUACUGAAGGAGAGGCUCUCCUCCCUCUAACCGAUGGAAGGGGAACAGCAGGCUGCAAUGCAGGCUGCAUCCGUAAGCUACCCGCUUUGAUUUGCUGAACUGAUCCAUUUCGAAAUAGCACAAAAGCUCAGCUUUUAAGUAUUUUUACAUCCCCAGGGAAGGAACAGCAAAGAGGCGAUUAAAGCUGGAAAAGACAUGCUCCUCCAGCGUGCCUGUUGGCUUCCAGCUCCUUGUCUCCUCAUCCCCUUGCUCACAGCAAAGUGCUGCUCAUGCCGACAGUCCCGUGUUUCUCCAGGACAGAGGAAGAGACAGGAUUGCAGAGUGGGCUCCUUGGACUCUUCGUAAAAGAUCAACAAAAGUGGCAAGUGGAAAAGUACCUCUGUAUCUUGAGCUGAAGGAGAAAAUUAAAUUUCUUUUCUUGUAUCAUUCAGCAUUCAUGAGAAAUUGCAUGUAGAGCAAACAGUAUCCCCC